rnacentral:piRNA from 1 species
UGUCUUGGUGAGAUGCUACUUUC